rnacentral:sRNA from 1 species
GAGAACCCACUGCUUAGGCAGCUGAAGGCAGCAGGAGAUGCCCUAAGUGAUAAACUAUACAAGGAAAACUACGAAAAGACAAAGGCAAAGAGCAUAAAUUACUGUGAGACCCCCAAAUUCAAGCUCGAUACUGUUCUGCAGAACUUCAGUAGUGAUAAAAAAUAUAAAGAUUCCUACUUAAAAAAUAUUUUGGGACAUUAUGUAGGCAGCUUUGAGGAUCCAUACCAUUCACACUGCAUGAAAGUCACAGCUCAAAACAGUGAUAAAAACUACAAAGCAGAAUACGAAGAAGACAGAGGCAAAGGCUUCUUCCCUCAGACCGUAACUCAAGAAUAUGAAGCAAUUAAGAAACUAGAUCAGUGUAAAGAUCACACCUACAAAGUCCAUCCAGAUAAGACAAAAUUCACCCAAGUUACAGACUCUCCUGUUCUGCUACAAGCCCAAGUCAAUUCCAAACAACUGAGUGACUUAAAUUACAAAGCAAAACAUGAAAGUGAAAAGUUCAAGUGCCAUAUCCCCCCUGAUACUCCUGCUUUUAUCCAGCACAAAGUCAAUGCCUAUAACUUGAGUGAUAAUCUUUAUAAGCAAGACUGGGAGAAGAGCAAAGCCAAGAAGUUUGACAUUAAAGUGGAUGCCAUUCCCCUGCUGGCAGCCAAAGCCAACACCAAGAACACCAGCGAUGUGAUGUACAAGAAAGACUAUGAAAAAAACAAAGGGAAAAUGAUUGGAGCCCUCAGCAUUAAUGACGAUCCCAAGAUGCUGCACUCCUUGAAGGUGGCCAAAAACCAGAGUGAUAGAUUAUACAAGGAAAACUAUGAGAAGACAAAGGCAAAGAGUAUGAAUUACUGCGAGACCCCAAAAUAUCAACUUGAUACUCAGCUGAAGAACUUCAGUGAGGCUAAAUAUAAAGACUUAUAUGUAAAGGAUAUUUUGGGACAUUAUGUAGGCAGCAUGGAGGACCCAUAUCACACACACUGCAUGAAAGUUGCAGCUCAAAACAGUGACAAAAGUUACAAAGCAGAAUAUGAAGAAGAUAAAGGAAAAUGCUAUUUCCCUCAGACAAUAACACAAGAAUAUGAAGCAAUCAAGAAGCUGGACCAGUGUAAAGAUCAUACCUACAAAGUUCAUCCAGAUAAGACCAAAUUCACGGCAGUCACUGAUUCUCCUGUACUGUUGCAAGCCCAGCUCAACACGAAACAGCUUAGUGAUGUAAGUGCUUUGAUUUAUGCAAGCGUGGGUGACCCAGAGUGCUUUGCUCAUUUAAAAUGUAAGCAUUUACAUGCUUAAUCUUCAUGAGCUCAUCUACCAUCCCAAUAUUAUUAUUUUUCAAGAUUUGUUUAAUAAAACACAAAUGAGGCUGCUAGAUUGAAUUGUAGCCUGAGGAAAGUUGUGUUAGACAAUAAUAAAAAUAAAUAUUUUUUAAUAACUCACUGAUUUUUAGUGGGACUAUCUUACUUAUUCAUUAGGAUCUGUCACAUGCACACUAAAACUUCGUGCCAACUUAAAUAGUGACAACAAAAGCAUCUAUUUGUGUAGGACAAGGCAAAUAUUUCCGAUUCUAGAAUUUGCUAACAAAGACUUUACAAAAAGAAAGGGCACAGUAACAAGACAGACAUCAAACAGUGAUAAGAGAACUAAUAUAGAAUGAUGCUACAGAAUUAAAGUGGGAUGACAUCAAAGAAAGAACUGGAUGGGCACUUUAGAUUGAGUGGUCAAAGAAAGUCUAAGACAGGUGUGGUCCAGUCAUGCCAAGAUCAGAGGGAAAGCAGCAGGGCUUCUCAGACAUCCACAUUCAUGCAAUCGCCUGCUGACCCCGUUGAAGAGCAGAUUCUAAUUCAGUAGAUCUAGGGGACUCCAUAUUCUGACUUUCUAAUAAGCUCCUAGGUGAUGCUGAUGCUGUGAUUGGUAGACUACUCUUUAAACAGUAAGGUGCUAACAUAGCUAAGUCCUAGAGAGUAGUACACCCUUCUCAAGAUAGGUAAGUGAAAGAUACAGUUUGUCCUACUAUAAAAUAUGUUUUAAUGACACAAAUAAGCUCAUAUCCAAUUAGUAAAGAGGAGAAUGGCAUCAGUAUAACUCAGAAGUCAUUUCUGCUCCUGUGCCACUUUUCUGAGCAUCUUAAUAUUUUGUGUCCCAAUAAAGAACAGCUGAACACUAACAUCACUGAUCUAGCUGAACUCAGCAAGCUGCAGAGAAAUAUAGUGCUGUAUGUGGUCACAGUCACUAUCAGUCACUCUUCUUAUGGGCUUAGGUAGGCAAUGGACUCUGCCUUGGAAUUACUUCUUGCAUAGUUCUCAAUCUUGUGCAUUUUUGCCUUCGGCUCCAAAAUUUAAACAGCCUCAUCCAUUCUUUACACUCCCUUCCUUACACCUAACGUCAACUUUUAAAAAAUUUAAAUAAAGUUCUAUGUUUAAUAAUUUAAAUAAGAAUUCACAGCCAGGUGCGGUGGCUCAUGCCUGUGAUCCCAGCACUUUGGGAGGCUGAGGCAGGCAGAUCAGUUGAGCCUAGGAGUUUGAAACUAGCCUGGGCAACAUGGUAAACCCCAUCACUACAAAAAAAUUAAAAAAUUAGCUGGGUAUGGCGGCACAUGCCUGUAGUCUCAGCUACUCAGGAGGCUGAGGUGGGAGGAUCACUUGAGCCUGGGAGGCGGAGGUUGCAGUGAGCCGAGAUUGUGUCACUGUACUCCAGCCUGGGUGAUGGAGCCAGACCCUGUCUCAAAAAAAAAAGAGUA